GACAAACGCUGGCGGCGUGCUUAACACAUGCAAGUCGAACGGAAAGGCCCUGCUUUUGUGGGGUGCUCGAGUGGCGAACGGGUGAGUAACACGUGAGUAACCUGCCCUUGACUUUGGGAUAACUUCAGGAAACUGGGGCUAAUACCGGAUAGGAGCUCCUGCUGCAUGGUGGGGGUUGGAAAGUUUCGGCGGUUGGGGAUGGACUCGCGGCUUAUCAGCUUGUUGGUGGGGUAGUGGCUUACCAAGGCUUUGACGGGUAGCCGGCCUGAGAGGGUGACCGGCCUCAUUGGGACUGAGAUACGGCCCAGACUCCUACGGGAGGCAGCAGUGGAGAGUAUUGCACAAUGGGCGGAAGCCUGAUGCAGCAACGCCGCGUGCGGGAUGACGGCCUUCGGGUUGUAAACCGCUUUCGCCUGUGACGAAGCGUGAGUGACGGUAAUGGGUAAAGAAGCACCGGCUAACUACGUG
rnacentral:rRNA from 1 species